CCAACUUAGGUUCAAACUAUGGGGUCACGCAUAUUAGAAGAUUUGAUCAAAUCUAACGACUGAAGAGUCCAAUUGGAUUGUGACUAUGAUGAGGAGUCUCACUGGAACUGAGACUCUGGAGGAGAGCCCUACUAAGACUGAGAAUCUACUAUUAAUAGAAAAUUAAUUAGUAAUUAGAUUACUAAUUGACUUAAUUUGAUUGGAUAAAGAGCUUUGGAUCAAGUUUAAUUAAAUUAGAUUCAGUUCGACUCAGCUUGGAUUUGAUAUGAUCAAGCCUGAUUACAAG
rnacentral:lncRNA from 1 species